rnacentral:misc_RNA from 1 species
GAGUCGUCCAUUUUGUUUCUCUUAGCGUUAGGAGGAGGUUUAGGAAAUUACGCGUUGUGGUAUUAUUGUGUGUUAUUACAUAUUUAAAGGUUGAAGUUUUAUAAAAUUAGGCUAAUCUUUAAUCAUAGACGUGUGACAAAUCUUUAGCAAUAAAAUUAGUUCUUUUCGUAUUAGAUAGUGGGCCAUCGCCUUUCAGGACAGUUAAGGAUCGUCAUUACAGUCGGCCAUCGAGAGCGGCCAUUUUUAUCAUCCUGCUUCAUGGUUCACAAUGAGUGAUUAUUCAGCGGUUGCUCCGCCACAGAAUUUUAGUCAAAGUUCUGCAUUUGCGGCCGCACUUCAACGUGCCAAACAGAUUGCUGCUAAAAUCAAUCCUAGCCUUUCAAGUGAAACCGGAAACAAGAGACCUCUGGAAGAUAACUCUGACGGGCCAGACGCCAAAAAAGUGGCCAGUGACAGUGCGUCGGGGCGCGGGUCGAGUGCUGCUGCGGCCGCAGCAGCCCAGGCGGCUGCGGUAGCCGCUAGAGUGGCGGCCGCAGCGGCUGCCGGCAUCCAGGGGCUGGGUGUGCCCGGCCUCGCUCUCGGACCCGUCACCAGUGAAGACAUAAGGGUCCCCGACAAGAUGGUCGGCCUCAUUAUUGGGCGAGGGGGAGAGCAGAUCAGCAGGUUACAAUCAGAAUCUGGCUGUAAAAUACAGAUGGCCCCAGACUCAGGAGGCCAACCAGAGCGAGUAUGCACUCUUACAGGGAAUGCACAAUCUAUAAGUCGGGCCAAGGAAUUGAUAAGUGCAAUUGUACAACAAAGAAGUAGAACUGAGGGAACUGGUGGUGCACGUUUGGAUGAUAUGAAUAUGGGAGGAACACCACCCAAUGUACCACAUAACCAGUACUGGAACCGAGAACCAAGAACUGAAAUAGAAGAACCGGAACCAAUAAGAGGUGGAACCGACCCAUCCCUUACUAUGGGUGAUCGAUCAAAUGAAGAUGGACCACCUAAUAAACAACCAUUCCAGUUUGGAAAAACACAAGUUGAAAUAAUGGUACCUGGUCCUAAAGUAGGCUUAAUUAUUGGCAAAGGGGGUGAAACAAUAAAGCAACUUCAAGAAAAAUCUGGAGCGAAAAUGGUCGUUAUUCAAGAUGGACCUUCACAAGAAAAUGAGAAACCUCUUCGAAUAACAGGAGAUCCACAGAAAGUGGAGCACGCUAAAGCUUUAGUUUAUGAACUCAUUGCUGAAAAAGAAAUGCAGAAUGCCUUUAACCGAGGUGGUGGAAACGGCGGAGGUGCUAAUAGAGGUAACUUUGGAAAUGACUUCAAUGGUGGAGGAGGUGGUCCUGGCAGUGGAGGUGGUGACUCUGUUGAGGUGGCAGUGCCCAGAGCUGCUGUGGGUGUGGUCAUAGGGAAGGGGGGUGACAUGAUCAAGAAGAUUCAGGGUGAGACGGGGGCCAGAGUACAGUUUCAGCAGGGCAGGGAUGACGGGCCAGGUGACCGCCGGUGUCUGCUAACAGGCAAGCCUGAGCAAGUGGAGGAAGCUCGACAGAGGAUCGAAGAGCUCAUAGAUAGCGUGCUCAGGAGAGACAGUGAGUCGGGCAGAGGAGGUGGACGAGGUGGCAACAGACCAGGAGGUGGUGGUCCUGGCGGUUUUGACAGGAUGGGAGGAGGUGGUGGUCCUCGAGAUUUCAACGACAGAGGCCCUGGAGGCGGGCGGGGUUGGGACAACAAUGGCCGCAUGGGUGGACCCGGUGGAGACAAGACGGAGUCCACUUUCACAGUUCCUGCAGCCAAGUGUGGUGUUAUCAUUGGCAGAGGAGGGGAGACAAUAAAACUGAUAAACCAGCAGACAGGAGCGCAUUGUGAGUUGGACAGAAGACCUCCAGCAAACCCAGCUGAGAAGACUUUUGUUAUUAGGGGUGCCCCAGAUCAGAUUGAGAAUGCCAAGAGGUUGAUUGCUGAAAAGCUUGGAAUGCCAGGACCGGGUCCAGGUAAUGCAGGACCACCACAACAGUUCGGUAUGGGAGGACCAGGAGGACCACAACAGCACUUUGGAGCUCAAAACUGGCAGCAGCCAGGUGGCUUUCAGCAGCCCUGGCAGAACCCUCAACCACACCCACAGGACCCUAGUCAGGGUGGCAAUCCGGUUCAGGUGAACCCUCAGACUGGCCAGCCCGACUACAGUGCCCAGUGGGUCGAGUAUUACCGUUCCUUGGGCAUGCACAGGGAGGCCGAGUUGAUAGAGCAGCAGGCCAAGGCCAACAAGGGCAUGGGACCGCAGGCGCCAGGUGGAGGUACAGGGGCAGUGCAACCCCAGGCCACACAGCCUCAGCCUGUCGCUCAGGCGGCAACUCAGAAUGGUCAGCCUGACUACAGUGCCCAAUGGGCGGAGUACUACCGUUCUAUUGGCAAAAUUAAGGAAGCUGAAGCCAUUGAGGCGAGCAUGAAAAGCAAGCAACAAGGAGCAGGAACAGUGGCAGCAGCAGGUGGGGCAGGACCUCAGCCUGGUGGUCCACAGCAAGCGGCUGGAAAUCCCUACCCUCAGGCACAGUACGGCUACCAGGCAGGGGCCUUCUAUGGCGGGGCUCCGGGGGCCCCUCAACCCACCCCACAACCUGGCGCCCCUCAGUAUGCCCAGUACCCCAACUACGCAGCCUACGCUGGACAGCCUGAUAACUAAAUAACAUUAAAAUGGCAAGAGGCUGCUGACAAGAAGGCUCAAGAGCAGACGAAGAGGACAACGGUUGGUAUGUUCAUGAAGUCGUCUGCUUGUCCGUACAUGCAAACAACAAUAUCCGUGACAAUCGUUGAUCCUGCCAGUUGCUGUGGAGUUAUGCUUAGUUUAUGUACCUACAGUACAGAAGGGAACACAAUAGUGCCAUGAUUUAAAAAAUAGACGAACAAAUUUUCACGACCAAGAGCGGAGUGGCAGGCCAAGUAUCCUAACCGAAGAAAAAAUUUUGCAAGUGGAUCAAAAACUGCGAUCCGAUCGUUGAUUAAUGGCCUGGCUGAACAAUUCCCUCAACUUGGGCACACUGCUGUCUACAAUAUUGUCACGGAAAAUCUCGCAUACCACAAAUUGUGUGUAAAAUAGAUACCGAAAAUACUGACUGACCACCACAAAGAGCAAAGAAAGUUCAGUGGAUAAGAGUUUUUGAGCCGUUACCAACAAGAUGGAGAGGAUUUUUUCCCAAGCAUUUUUACUGGGGACAAAAUUCCUACACCAACUUGGAUAUCCUACACCAAUCCAGAAACAAAACUGCAAUCAAUGCAUUGGUGACACUCACAUUCACCAAAACCGAAAAAGUUUAACCAAACUCCGUACAUAAAUAUAAAAUUGAUGGCUAUAAUUAAUUUUUGGGAAAUAAAGGGUGGCAUGAUUUUAUGGAAAGUGGGAGAGAACAAUGACAGAUGAUGUGUACAGCAAAAUGCUCAACAAACUGUAACGUGUGAUCCAGAACAAACGACGCAGGAAACUGUCGUCUGGUGUAUCCUCCUUCACAAUACUCUUUGACCACCCACCGUACAGUCCUGACCUUGCACCUAACGACUACUGGUGGACAUUUGAAACCAAAGAAGAACUGAAGAACGGCGUUGUCAACCAGUUCAACUCUCAGGCGGCAAGCUUCUACGCAGAGGGGUUAAAGAAGGUGGUGCAACGGUAUGAAGAAUGCUAACAAGUGAACGACGAUUAUGUACAGAAGUGAAGUAGGUUUGUAGCUAACUAAAUGUGCCAAUAAUAUGCGUUUCUUAUGA